rnacentral:rRNA from 1 species
UACGUAGGAGGCAAGCGUUGUCCGGAAUUACUGGGCGUAAAGCGCGUGUAGGUGGUGGGACAAGUCUGCUGUGAAAGCGCCUGGCUUAACCGGGCGAGGUCGGCGGAAACUGUUCGACUCGAGGACGGUAGAGGGGGGUGGAAUUCCCGGUGUAGUGGUGAAAUGCGUAGAAAUCGGGAGGAACACCUGUGGCGAAGGCGGCCCCCUGGGCCGGCCCUGACACUGAGACGCGAAGGUGUGGGGAGCGAACGGG